AAAGUUUUUUAUAUACAUCUUUUUUCUACUUCACGCUGCAUUAGCUGUCACCAACAAUAGCUUGGCUUGUUGUUCCAGUGCCAGCAUUUAAAGUGGGUUUUAAAGUUUGUUCUCCAUCCCUGAAUAAACACCACACAUACAGACCCUUUAAUAAGGUUAGAUUUUUUUAAAAUGCAAUAGGGAGAUGUCACCAUGGAGAUCAGUCCACACUAAGACCAUCCAAGUUGCCAACUUGUCUCCUCUAAUUCAGGAUGACUGUUCUUCUGGAAAAGUAAAAGUGUGGGGGUAUAUGACUGUGUCCAUGUGCACAUGUAACUGUAAUUACAAGGAUUAUAAGAAGCAAUCAGAAAACAAGAUUUGGGAAGAUCCAAAAAAUCAUUCAUGCCGUUAAGAAUGUCAUUAUGAAUUGCAAUCACUAAAAGAAAAAUCCCACCCCAACUUCUGCUGUCAUAAAUAUCCUCCCAUCCUUAGGCAGCAGAACCUACGCAGAAGGGAGAGGGCUGAUUUGGGGUGAUGAUGUAGAGCAUGUUCCCACUGCAUGGCUCCCACAGGGCAAGGACAGGUGGGGGCUUUGCAUAAUUAGGCCAGGAGACUGGUGUUUCGUCUAUGGAUCCUGUGGUCCUCCUCCCAUACUAGGGCUGUGUUAGGGGCAAGCAAGAAUACUUUUUCCAUAAGGCUGAAGAAUAUUCUGCAGAGUGGCUCCUGGUAGGAUUGGGAAGGAAGAUGUCUUUCCUCUCACCACUUUCCCCCUGUGUCUUUCUGCAGGGCCCAGACCAGCUGCUCAUGCUGGGUUCUGUGAAGAUUUGGCUUUAAACACCUAGUCAUGCAGCCUCUUCUCAUGUGAAUAACGACUAGAGCAUCAGACCACUAGUGAGGAAUGAAAUGUGCAUGUAUUAAUUCUCAGAAUAAGCUACUGUACAAUGCAUUUCUAUUCAUGGGAAUGAAUGAGGUUCUAUUGUGAGUUACAAAUACCAGGUAAAAUGAGGUAAGCAGUGUAAACACUAGGUGUGUGAUCCUGCCAAGUGUCUCAGCAAGAUGCAGCAACCUCAUUUCUCAUCAAGAUUCAUGAAACUGCAAUUCCCAUUGAAAGAGGCACUCGGCAUGUUGCAGAGACAAGUCCAUAACAUGUGGUAGAAAAUUUAUUUAUUGUUUUCAGUCAAAAUACAUGCAAUCCCCAUGAUAGCAGUAAUCAAUUCAGAUGUACAAGGAGGUUUAGCUUUUGGUUUACCUUAGCCACUUGCAGAGUGCAAGUUGUCCCUUUCCUGAUACAGAUUUCUAAUUAAACAUGUGACCUAUCAGUCUAUUUCAUCCUCAGUGCCAAACCUGUUAUCUGCAGGGCCCUGCUAUGCACUUUCACCUUCAUCAAGAGAGGUAAGCAUUUCUUUCAUAGACUUUCUUGAUCUUGAAUCAAUGAAAUCAGUGACAGUUUUCUCACCAUCUUGAAUAGGAACAGGAUGGCCCUUUGAUCUCCACUGGUUCCUUCCCUCCCCCACAUCUUUUCAUCCUUCCUCAACUGUUCCCAGUACUGAUCGUCCCCAUUUUCCUUCACAAUGUGUUCUUUCUGUCUCUCUCUCAUCCUACUGCUUCCUUUGCUUGCAAAUAAUGUUAAACUUCUUUGCUUAAGACUGCUUACAUUUUGCUUGUCUAUCAUAUUAAAAACUCUUCUGUCUCAUCCCACACUCUUUUCCUGUGUGAGAAAAAGUGACUGAAUGUUGGGCACAAUUCUGUAAGGUGAGGAGCACCUCUUACAAAACGCAGAGGACACUCAACUCCCAUCAAAGUAUAUGGGAGUUAAGAAUGUUCUGUACCUCCCAGGAUCAAGCCCAUUAUUUCUGAUGACUGUCGGGCCCAGAUUUUAUUUCUAUCCCUAACUCAAGGCAGUGGUUGAGGUUGGUUCUUAAGCCACAUUAAUAUUAUUUCAUUCAAGGGAUAGGGGGCAUGGGUCAGCAUUCAUGUCGCACUCCCCAUCAGUACCCAGCCCGGGGGAGCUGAUGAUCCAACCAGCAGACCAAAUUUGAUGUUGAAUCCUGGUCACAUGGCACCUGAGGGAAGUUGAGCAUAUGCAAGAAGUUUCAAGAGACGGAAGAGAAAACACAAAAAUGAAACCCAUGAGCUACAAUUAACAAGACACCAGGAGAAUAUUUAAGGGUAUCUUCAGAUGACUGCAUUAUUAAUUGUAUUCCUCUGGAUCUGAAAUCAAGAAACAUUAAGGUGUAAAAAGAAAAAUUGUCAACUGAAGAAUGUUUUAAAAACCUUCAAAGUAUAUCCAGCUGUCUGGGUACAAAAGAACGGAGGAAGGAGAGAGUUGCUAUUUCCUCACAGACCCUGACAACAUUACAUGAAAAAUGCUGCAAGAAACCACUGGAAUGCAAAGAAAACCUUCCGCUUGCAACAUUUUUAGUCUAUAAUACCUUGCCAACAGUUGUUCCAAGUGUUUUACAAACAUUGGUUGUAUCAGCUGAUAGCAGAAAAUAAGUCUUUAGCUCAGCUGAGGCUGAUCUGGUGCACUAUAGAAUGAUUUCUCCCCAGUGUGGACAGGAAGUUGCAAGCAUGGAAGCUGUACAAAUGUACUGCCUCAGAUUUAAGAAUUACCCCCAAUCCUAUUUCCAACAAGAGCAGCGAGGAUUAUGGGAAAAGUGCUUCAGAAGUCCCAGAAUGCACAGAUACAACAGCGACGGCAAGAGAAGAUGCGUGAGAAAAAUCACUUUUUGUAUGAAAAGAAAAUUUGGAUUUUAAAAAAUGGGUUUCCACACUAGCAGGUGUUGAAUAAAUUUUCAAGGGCACUGUGCAUGUGAAAAGAUGUUUUAACCUACUCAAGCUAUUAGGAUAAGAUUUGAAAUAGUUCAGACCUUUUUUUAUAUAACACUUGCGAAAUAAAUGAAAAAACAGGCCUUUCUGUAAACAAGACUAGUUCUUUGGUCCAGAUUUUGUUCUCUGAAUAUAGAUAAGGAUAUUCAAUUGUAUAACUUACAGAUUUUGAUGGCUAUUUCUUUUCCAGAGAUCAUAUGUGGUAACAGAUGCUAUUUUCUUAUGACACACACAAUAUGUUUGAAAUCCACUUUGUCAUAAAUUCCAUUCUUAAAAAAUAAAGGGAAAAAUGUUUUCUAAAAUCUAUAUUAUACCACAAGAUAAUGGCUGUGUGCACAAACAUACCUUUCUAUACAUAGGUAUGUGCAUGUGUAACCUAUGCCUGCUUGGUGUGGUGCUCUGUUCCCCUCUAGUGGCACCUAGCUUAGCUAGAGAUUGAUGAAUCUGCUACAGCCUUAGUUACAGGGAUGCUAGAACAAUUUGUAUAGUGGGGGCACUGAGAACCUGUAUAUGAUGGAAACCACUUCAAGCCAGGGGGUGCGGCAUAUCCCCUAGUUGCAGCACCUAUGCUUACCUAAGAGCCAGCUAGCUUUUUAGCUCAUGCAGUAGAGGCUCCCACCCUAAGCUUCAGAGGUCCUAGGUUCAGUCCUGUAUGCAGAUGAACAGGGUCUAUUGGUGUUACACAUGCAUGUGUAUGUGUACACAUACAUACAAACUAGCACCCCUAGCCGGAAUAGACUUACAUUCAUUCUUAAUUUUCUGCGCUCUGAAUAUUCCCAUUGAAGGCAGUAAGUCUAUGCAGGAUUGGGGUCAUGGACUAGAACCUUGAUAAACUGCAUACUUCAUAAUUACUACCAAAACUGGUGGUUUAUCCACUUAUUAGUAAAUAUUUAAUAGGAGACUGCUGCAAUGAGAUCUAGAUGUCCACAUUUUUACAAGAUAUUCUACAGUACCUUUACUUAGAGUGUAAGCUCUCCAAGGCAAGGACUGUCUUUCUGUAAUGUGUUUGUUCAAUGCCCACCAGAAUGGGGCCCCGAUCCAUGAUUGGGAUCCCUUGGGACUAUCACAACAUAAAUAAUUCAUAUUUGUAUAUUAUGAAGUGUUAUAAA